rnacentral:rRNA from 1 species
CAGUCGCCGCGGGAAUACGUAGGGUGCGAGCGUUAAUCGGAAUUACUGGGCGUAAAGCGUGCGCAGGCGGUUGUGUAAGACAGGUGUGAAAUCCCCGGGCUUAACCUGGGAACUGCGCUUGUGACUGCACAGCUAGAGUAUGGCAGAGGGGGGUGGGAUUCCACGUGUAGCAGUGAAAUGCGUAGAGAUGUGGAGGAACACCGAUGGCGAAGGCAGCCCCCUGGGCCAAUACUGACGCUCAUGCACGAAAGCGUGGGGAGCAAACAGGAUUAGAUACCCGUGUAGUCCCUGUCUCUUAUAC